UACGUAGGGGGCGAGCGUUGUCCGGAUUUAUUGGGCGUAAAGAGCUCUGUAGGCGGUUGGGUAAGUCGGGUGUGAAAACUCAGGCUCAACUCUGAGACGCCACUCGAUACUGCUCUGACUCGGAGUCCGGUAGGGGAGCGUGGAAUUCCUGGGUGUAGCGGGUGAAAUGCGCAGAUAUCAGGAGGAACACCAGCGGCGAAGGCGGCGCUCUGGGCCGGUACUGACGCUGAGGAGCGAAAGCGUGGGGAGCGAACAG
rnacentral:rRNA from 1 species